GCUCUCCCUUGGGAGUGAGCUAGCUUCGCAUCAAGGACAACGUUGCCUUUUGGUGGGGCCGCCUGCAAUUUGUGAACUUACUGACCCUCCAAGGAUGCAGCUUCUGCUAUGGUUGCAAGAAUUGAAAGAAGCUGGGAUCUCAGAUGUUUAUUGGAGUGAAGUGAUGACAUACAACAUCCGCACAAAUGCUAGAAGGAGGAUUCAGGCACAGCAAGCACAGAAGGUGGCUUUGUAUGAAGGAGAACAAAAACAAGGUCUCUGAGGCCAUUGUCGAGCUGCUGCUAUGAUUUAUUUUAGUGCUGAAAGUCUCUAAACAAUGAAGCUGCCAACUUUUUCUGCAAGCAUUUAUUUAACACUCCCAAUAUCAGAAAAUUAGUCCUUGUUAUUUACUCUGAAUUGUAGGUAAAGGAUUUGGAUGUGGAAA